rnacentral:rRNA from 1 species
GAUGAACGCUGGCGGCGUGCUUAACACAUGCAAGUCGAACGGUGAAGCAGAGCUUGCUCUGUGGAUCAGUGGCGAACGGGUGAGUAACACGUGAGCAACCUGCCCCUGACUCUGGGAUAAGCGCUGGAAACGGCGUCGAAUACUGGAUAUGAGCUGCGACCGCAUGGUCAGCAGUUGGAAAGAUUUUUCGGUCUGGGAUGGGCUCACGGCCUAUCAGCUUGUUGGUGGGGUAAUGGCUCACCAAGGCGUCGACGGGUAGCCGGCCUGAGAGGGUGACCGGCCACACUGGGACUGAGACACGGCCCAGACUCCUACGGGAGGCAGCAGUGGGGAAUAUUGCACAAUGGGCGAAAGCCUGAUGCAGCAACGCCGCGUGAGGGAUGACGGCCUUCGGGUUGUAAACCUCUUUUAGCAGGGAAGAAGCGAAAGUGACGGUACCUGCAGAAAAAGCGCCGGCUAACUACGUG